rnacentral:tRNA from 1 species
AGCAGGAUGGAGAAGUGGUUAUCUCGUCUGGCUCAUAACCAGAAGAUCGUGGGUUCAAAUCCCACUCCUGCAACCA